ensembl:lncRNA
GUUCCAACGCAGCGAGAACGAGCGCGCCUCCUCCCGCCUGAAGGUUAACGCGGAGCUCGUUCCACGUCACGCGCGGAGCCGCAGUCUGGUCGCGCUUAUUCCGAAUGCGGGACGCAGCCUGAACUCUCUCGCUCUCUCUCUCUCUCUCCCCCUCUCUCCCCCCCGCCGUCCCUCGCGUCGCCUCCUCGCCGUCUUUGCGCCGAACCAGCUCGCGGCAGCAGAGACUGUCCGCGGGGAGAGACAGCCGAGGAGACAGCGCUCUCUCUCUCUCUCUCUCUCUCCGCUGCGUCGCGAGGAAUUGUGGGAAGAAGGUUCCUGCUAUAAAUUAUGAAUGAGUUACAAAUGGACGCUCGGCGCGCGACGCUUACUUUGACCCCCCCUAAAAGCGCGUGCGCGCUGCUUUACUCGGCACAUAAGCUCCAAGCCGCAGAGCCUCGCGUCGCGAAACCACCUCGCGUCUGCUUUAACGGAGAAUAGCGCACGUUUACGUAAACGUACGACUUUCGCGCACGCGCAGAGUGCUGAAUCCUCAAGCGGCCAUCUUUGAUGGGCCGAUCGGUGACGCGCCCUGUUGGUUUAGGGCUGGCGGCGCAUCUCUCAGCCUCGUAGCAUCUCUGGUUGCUGCUGCAGGCAAAAUCCCAGAUCAUCAUCAUGGCGCCCGGCGUAGCAUCUGCUGUGCGGAGGGGGGGGGGGUCAGUGUUGUGAAUGGAAACUGCGGGCUGUCUGUCACUCAGCUGCUGACGUCGGGCGGAGAGGACAUGUCUUCUGCAGAAGUGGGACAACAGCGACUGCUGUCCCUUUGAAUGCACCCACGCACCGGUGUGGUCUGCAUCACCAACGAGUCCUGGUGGCCGUUGCAGUGGGACACAUUCACACAUUCUCCAGACAACACAUGCCCGCCAUGUGCGCGGGUAUCCACACCAGUCUGGCUCCGCACAGCUGAUCUUCUGCCCCUUGGGCCGUGCUCAUUGGUCGUCACGCUUCUGCUAUGCACAGAUUCGUACACGAGGAUGAAUCCUGCCGGACGCUUUUGAGAGACUACCAGUGACGUUAUGAAGCACUGCAGUAAACAGUGACACUGUCAACCAUCAGCCCCAGUGUGUCGCUCUGACCGGCGUCCCAUCCUUGUGAGGGCUUAUCGCCAAUCAAAGUACAUCUAUUAAUGGCUAACGGCCUGCAGCCGGAUGGGGGGUGGAAGCCGGGUGUCUGCGCUGCACACAGCACGCCGACUUAAGAGGCUUCUCUCUGCAGGAGAAACGCACAAACACACACAAGUGUUU